UCUCCUCACCAGGCUGUGCAUUCAUCCUCCAGCUACUAGGGGCCUUGGCUGCUAAUGGCUCAGGCCAUUGUUCUUUCACAGAGGAGUGUUGUUGGCUGAGAGGAGCCUCCUCCCCUGGAAGUGGUCCUGGAGAUGAUGGCUGAGAGGUUCCAUUCUCCUGCUGGGGAGCCAGGGCCAAAGAUUCACUGAUGAAGGGAUAUAGCAGCUUCCUUGGCUCUGGGUGGGACAACUUCUGUGUGCCCGCAGGCCGUGUCCAGCCAUGAACUGCAUUUCCCAGCCUGUUUGCCACUUGACAGGGCCAUGUGGAUAGUUCUCAUCAGUGGAAUGUGAGAGGAAAUGAAAUGUAGUCUCUCAAGACUAAGAAGAUUAAGAAGCUUUCUCUACUUAUUCUUUCUCUGCCCUUCAUCCUGCCUGCAGAGGAAAUCCUACAGCUGGAGGAGCCAUCAGAUUAAAGGAGCCUGGGUUCCUGAAUCACCACAUGGAAGGCUGCCACCAGUCAGGAACAUCUGUAUGGUUAAGUUCCCUCAAGAGCUGGCUCUUAAAAAGAGCCUGGUACCUUCCCCUCGCUCUUGUGCUUCCUUUCUCAUGUCAUGUGAUGCCUGAUCCCUUCCGCCUUCUGUGGUGAGUGGAAACUUCCUGAGGCCCUCAUUAGAAGCAGAUGCUGGUGCCAUGCGUCUUAUACAGCCUGCAGAACUGUGAACCAAAUAUAACCUCUUUCUUUAUAAAUUAUCCAGUCUCAGGUAUUUCUUCAUAGCACUGUGAAUAGACUAAGACAGAGGUGUUGGAGAAUCUAAGACCUGUUCCAUUAGGAACCAAUAGCAUCUAGCACAUGCUACUAGUAUCACCUGGACUUAAAAUCUCCAUGCCCUCUGUCUUCUUUUACCUUCUAUAACCAUUCACUUGCCAACUUAUGUCUAGUCAAUGUACACAGGGUUUUCAUAUCAGUCCUUUCUAAAAUUGCCACCACUUAUUUCAGGCUCUCUCACUGACACCAUAGCAUGAGACUCUGAUAGCCUUUCUAGCCCCAAGGCAUCUUGACAUGCUUGUAGGCUAUUCAUUUUAAACCUAUUUCUCAUCAUAUUUAUUUCUGCUCAUUUCUUCUCAAUGGUUCCCUACUGCAUAUGUAAUUAAAUAUAACCUUAUCCUGGCAUAUUUUAAAAGUAAGCUUUAGCUUGCUUAAUUUUCCAGCAUUAAUUUCUUUCUUUCUUUUUUGAGAUGAAAUCUCAUUCUCUUGCCCAGGCUGGAGAGCAGAGGCACAAUCUCGACUCACUGAA